rnacentral:rRNA from 1 species
UACAGGGGGUGCAAACGUUGCUCGGAAUUAUUGGGCGUAAAGCGCACGUAGGCGGUUCGUUAUGUCGGAUGUGAAAGCCCUUGGCUCAACUGAGGAAGUGCAUCCGAAACUGGCGGGCUAGAGUAUGUAAGAGGGUCGCGGAAUUCCCGGUGUAGAGGUGAAAUUCGUAGAUAUCAGGAGGAACACCAAUGGCGAAGGCAGCACUCUGGGACGUGACUGACGCUGAGACGCGAAAGCGUGGGGAGCAAACAGG